rnacentral:lncRNA from 2 species
UCGUUCGACCAUUGAUGUAAUUGAUAUGCUUGGCCACAAAUACGUCCGCCCUCAACGGCUUAGAAUCAUUCCUCAAUAGGUGAGUUUUAAUUAUGCUAAACUCACUUUCCACCGACGCGCUUACGAUCGCCCAUUGAUAGCACGGUAGGGCGAAUAAAUGACAAAGUAAAUACUCUCGCGUCAUGAAUUUUUCCUGGUAUUCCGGUGAAUACAUCAAGGAACUUCUUCUUCGCAUCGCAUAUUCCUUGCAAAGUCAA